rnacentral:rRNA from 1 species
GUGAGUAGUUCAGAGUUUGAUCCUGGCUCAGGAUGAACGCUAGCGGCAGGCUUAACACAUGCAAGUCGAGGGGCAGCAUGAGACGGAGAUUCGUCAAAGUCUUGAUGGCGACCGGCGCAAGGGUGCGUAACGCGUGAGCAACUUGCCCGUUUCUGGGGAAUAACCGGUGGAAACGCCGACUAAUACCCCAUAGUAUCAGAUUUAGGCAUCUUUAUCUGAUUAAAGAACUUCGGAAACGGAUAGGCUCGCGUGACAUUAGCUAGAUGGCGGGGUAACGGCCCACCAUGGCAACGAUGUCUAGGGGUUCUGAGAGGAAGGUCCCCCACACUGGAACUGAGACACGGUCCAG